rnacentral:rRNA from 1 species
CUACGGGUCGCAGCAGUGGGGAAUAUUGCACAAUGGGCGCAAGCCUGAUGCAGCAACGCCGCGUGAGGGAUGAAGGCCUUCGGGUUGUAAACCUCUUUUAGCAGGGAAGAAGCGAAAGUGACGGUACCUGCAGAAAAAGCACCGGCUAACUACGUGCCAGCAGCCGCGGUAAUACGUAGGGUGCAAGCGUUGUCCGGAAUUAUUGGGCGUAAAGAGCUCGUAGGCGGUUUGUCACGUCUGCUGUGAAAAUCCAAGGCUCAACCUUGGACUUGCGGUGGGUACGGGCAGGCUAGAGUGCGGUAGGGGAGAUGGGAAUUCCUGGUGUAGCGGUGGAAUGCGCAGAUAUCAGGAGGAACACCAAUGGCGAAGGCACAUCUCUGGGCCGUAACUGACGCUGAGAAGCGAAAGCGUGGGGAGCGAACAGGAUUAGAUACCCCAGUAGUC